rnacentral:rRNA from 1 species
GAAUGGGCCCCCGGCGCAAAAGCUAGUUGGAGAGGUAACGGCUCACCAAGGCGACGAUGCGUAGCCGGCCUGAGAGGGUGACCGGCCACACUUGGGACUGAGACACGGCCCAGAACUCCUACGGGAGGCAGCAGUAGGGGAAUCUUCCGCAAAUGGGCGAAAAGCCUGACGGAAGCCGACGCCCGCGUGAGCGAAGAAAGGCCUUCGGGUCGUAAAGCUCUGUUGUGAGGGACGAAAGGAGCGCCGUUCGAAGAGGGCGGCGCGGUGACGGUACCUCACGAGGAAGCCCCGGCUUAACUACGUGCCAAGCAGCCGCGGUAAUACGUAGGGGGCGAGCGUUGUCCGGAAUUAUUGGGCGUAAAGCGCGCGCAGGCGGUUCCUUAAGUCUGAUGUGAAAGCCCACGGCUCAACCGUGGAGGGUCAUUGGAAACUGGGGGACUUGAGUGCAGGAGAGGAGAGCGGAAUUCCACGUGUAGCGGUGAAAUGCGUAGAGAUGUGGAGGAACACCAGUGGCGAAGGCGGCUCUCUGGCCUGCAACUGACGCUGAGGCGCGAAAGCGUGGGGAGCAAACAGGAUUAGAUACCCUGGUAGUCCACGCCGUAAACGAUGAGUGCUAAGUGUUAGAGGGGUCACACCCUUUAGUGCUGCAGCUAACGCGAUAAGCACUCCGCUUGGGGAGUACGGCCUGCAAGGCUUGAAACUCAAAGGAAUUGACCGGGGGCCCGCACAAGCGGUUGGAGCAUGUGGGUUUAAUUCGAAGCAACGCGAAGAACCUUACCAGGUCUUGACAUCCCCUGACCAACCCAAGAGAUUGGGCGUUCCCCCUUCGGGGGGACACCCUGACAGGUGGUGCAUGGAAGUCGACAGCUCGUGUCGUGAGAUGU